CUCUGUGACUCCUACGGGAGGCAGCAGUGGGGAAUAUUGCACAAUGGGGGAAACCCUGAUGCAGCCAUGCCGCGUGUGUGAAGAAGGCCUUCGGGUUGUAAAGCACUUUCAGUAGGGAGGAAGGUAGUGUAGUUAACACCUGCACUAUUUGACGUUACCUACAGAAGAAGCACCGGCUAACUCCGUGCCAGCAGCCGCGGUAAUACGGAGGGUGCGAGCGUUAAUCGGAAUUACUGGGCGUAAAGCGCAUGCAGGCGGCCUGUUAAGUCAGAUGUGAAAGCCCCGGGGCUUAACCUCGGAAUUGCAUUUGAAACUGGCAGGCUAGAGUCUUGUAGAGGGGGUAGAAUUUCAGGUGUAGCGGUGAAAUGCGUAGAGAUCUGAAGGAAUACCAGUGGCGAAGGCGGCCCCCUGGACAAAGACUGACGCUCAGAUGCGAAAGCGUGGGGAGCAAACAGGAUUAGAUACCCUGGUGG
rnacentral:rRNA from 1 species